rfam:Glycine max cultivar Williams 82 chromosome 16, whole genome shotgun sequence.
UAGUUAUUUUGAUAUUAGCCUGGUUCACUCAGACAUAUAUACCACACUACGGUUAUGUCCUUGCUAGCUAGAAAGAUUUAAAACAAAGCAACACAUACAAAAGGUUGUUGUGGUUGUGGUUUUGGGUUUGAUUGAGCCAUGUCAAUAUCUCAGUGCUAUUU